AUGGCAACAGAAAUCAAAAAACACAAAGACGUAAUUAUUCUAGAGAGAGGAGGGAGACUCAAGAAAUUCGUGAAGUAGAUCGACGGUCCUUCAUCGCAAUUCACGAUUCGCAAUUCAAAAUUCGCAGUUCGCAAUACGCAGUCACUGGUUCUAGGGUUUAGAGGAUCUGCAAUUCGCAAGCAGAGGGUUUAAAAGGUCUGCAACAUCACCAAGAAGAAGGUAGGGGACGACGAAGGAAGGAGACAGAUCCCAUUCAAACUCUACUCCCGUACAACAUAUUCACAAACUCUCGCAAGGUUGAAAGAUUGAAUGGAGCAAUGUCUCAGAUAUAUCUGAAGCUACAGAUUGGAAAGAGAUGCUUUGCCUCUUUAACGUUGAGGCAGAAUUUCAAGUCUAGCAUUGAUAGAGAUCCUACAUUUAAUGAGGAGCAUGCGGAGCUAAACGGAGAAGAAAUAUAGAUCUAGCAAAUGAGACGGUGGAAGCUCUUAUUUGUUUUUGCAUCAUUUUGUGAUUUCUAGUAAUGUUAAGUUUGUUUUUUAUGGAUAUUAAUUAUGUCAUUAGAAACACUUAGUGAACAACUAUUUUGUAA